UCUCGCCGUUCAUCCCUUUCUUCGUCUCCCUCGCCAGGUUCCUUCGCAGAUCUUCAUCGAGGUGUGCGAGCGAGUGACGCUGCUGUGCGUGUGGAGACGAGCGAGCGAACGAGGUUGCGCGAAGAGUGCAGUGUGUGUGCGAGCCUUCGACGAGGCUCGAGGGUGUUACUGCGAGCGACGAGGGUAGACGAGUUCGAGGUGUGCGACUGCGAGACGAGCGAAGGGUCGCGAAAGGGCUGCGCGCACGAGUACGGUGUGUGCUGCUGUGCGAAAGGACUAGGGCGAUUGUGCGAAGGUUGUGCGGGUUGCGAGAGGUGUGUGAGUGGGGGUGCGAGCCAUCUUCGAGUGCGAGUGACGAAGAUCGGACGACGGGGUGCGGUUUGUGAAACAAGGCUCGAAGGGCGCGCGAAGAGGGCAAUUGCCCGAGGCUGCUGCUGCUACUUUGUGUGGCGUGCGCGAGCGGUUGAGCAUGGUGGUCACGCGAGUAGGCGAGUGUGGUGUUGCGCCGUUGCCGGAAAACGGUCGCCGGAACUUGGUUGCCGGCGAGCUAACGGUCCCAAUUUCAUAAGCGGAACGUUCGAUUAAGACAGCGAAAAUUCUCCGCUACAAGAUCCGGAGCCAUGAUUGUCAUCGUCUUCGGUAACCUCCAACUCGCCGGUGAACAACACGCUGUCAAAUUUAGUCGAAUUGAUGACUUUCAUUCAAUUGUUCUUUAUGUCGUAAAAGUUCGAAUGACAGGUUCAUAAUAAUUUGUAUUCAUUUGAGUGUAGUUAGUAGAAUUGGAUUGUUGUUCUACUGAUGAAUUUAUCAUUAUGAAGAUUAGCAAACAGCCAAACCUCCCUUCCCCAUAUUCAAUGCACUGCACCUCUGUUUCGCAACCUCUCUGCCCACUACAUACUGCCUUGUCACACAGUCACCAGUUUUUAAGUGCCUGAUUUCAUUGUUAUUGUUUUAGUUAUAUUCAUGUCAUUGCGAGUUGUGAAAUGUGGCAUCUUUACAUCAAUUUAAGAAUGAUUGUGGAAAAUAUAUUUUCAAUUUAUGUGAAAGUAAAUUUUGAAUGGAAAAUCUAUACUAAAACAUAUCCUUUUGCUUUUUAAUGUGUUCUUUCCUUGCAUUUCUGACUGCUAAUCAUGUUCCUAUAUUUUCUUAUUUCUUUCCUCCCUAUCUUUCCUCCCUAUUUGUGUCUAUUAGAAGCGGGUGGGAUAGAGGGAAACAAUCUCAUGUAAAGAUGCCACAUACAUAUUCGCUCUUCAUUUACAGUUUACAGUUUAUCUAAAUAAUACAAAUGGUUUACAUGGUACAUACAUAUUAUGCAUAAAUCCUUGAAUAAAAUCUCUUCUUACCAUAAAUCCUAGCUCGCAGAGUUUACAUGGUACAUACAUAUUCGCUUUUCAUUUACAGUUUAUCUAAAUAAUACAAAGGGGUAAAAAGGAUGAACAACUGCAAUCAUUUACAGUUUGAUAUGGCCCCACCAACUGCAAUGAUUGCGGCGGCUCCUACCAUUGGAGGUUUGACUAUUAUCCUUUUCUCUGAACAUAGAUUUGUGUUUAUAACUACUGCUUCUUUUUUGUUUGCUUUGGUGUGGAAAGUUCGUAUCAAAUUACAUGCUUUCAUUGGGUAAGCUUAUUCAUCCACUUCUUAUUUGCUUUACUGGGCCUGAUGGAGUGUUUGCAGAUGGACGGUGGUUUUUAUAUAUUUUUCUCAUUAUAUUUAUUAAGUCAAAUAACUCUGGAACUGAAAGAAAUUUUUGGUUUGUUCUUGUCUUUUGGUGUUUGUUUUUUGUUUGUGUCUUUUGUUUGUUGUUGUAAGAAGGUUAUGUUGGGCUACUUGCCCCACUAUGUUGACAUUGGGUGUGAGCCGACUUCUGUAGCUUUAAUGUACAAGGAAGAACGAGUGCUCAGGUUGGGUUUUGUUCAUCUUUAACUGGCCCCUAAUGUGUGUUUCUGUAGUAUUUCUAAUUAAUCCCUGCAACUGCCUUGUACAUUAUCUAGUUGAGAUCAAUUAUAUCUAGAAAAUCCGAUGAAUAUGUGACCAAAGAAAAUCUUUUAAUUGAAAGGAUUCAUAUAUUUACUUAAAACGAAAUAGGAUGUGUGAUUUUAUCUUGAAAAAGUUCAAUAAGGAUGUGGGUCUUUCAUUUUGAGCAUCGAUGUACUUGGUGCUUCUAUAGAAAUAUGACAAUUUUGUACUCUAUACAUCCCCGAUUACAACAGCUCCUGUUCCUGGGGUUUUUCCCAACAUUUUCCCCUUGACACCAGGGCAGGUAUGUGUAUCUUAAUUGUAUGGUUCAUGCUAUUGUUUGUUUUCUACCAUCAGGCCUUCAUGUUAUCUUAUUUUGUGGAUGCAGCAUGGAACUAUUCUUGUCAUGCCUGUUCAAGCAAUGACUCAGCAGGUUAACUGAGAUGAUAUUUUGCUUUAGGAUCUCUUCUUUAGUUUAUACAUCAAAAUUCUCAAUAGUUGGUAUGAAAUUACAGGCUACUCGGCAUGCUCGACGUGUUUAUGUAGGAGGAUUACCCCCAACAGCUAAUGAAUAGAUGGCUGUUGCGAUCAAGAAGAUACUAUAUGCUGCUGACGAGAAGGAAUUUGCGCUCUCCGAAGCUCAGCAAGUUCUGUCAGAAUCCUUGAUUUUGAUGUAGUUGAUCCGGAGGAGGAGAAGAGUGUAGACUGAUGUGUUACAGACUCUGGAUCAUAAGCAUAGGUCACUUUCUCCAGUGAAACAAUUUAUGGUUUCCUUAUCACAAGUCAUAACCAUGUAUGCAUCAGUGAUAAACGCACAAUAGCAAUGGAACAUUAGUUUUCUCAUAAGGAAGUUUUGUUGUUUAGUUGUAUUUGAUUUUGUUACAGUUGAUACAUUUCUUGGCUGCUCAUGUAUUCAGUUGUGAUUUUUUGGCUCCUGUUAUAAGAUGGAAUUUUUGUUU